rnacentral:rRNA from 1 species
CUACGGAGGGUGCAAGCGUUAUUCGGAAUCACGGGGCGUAAAGGACGCGUAGGCGGGUUGGCAAGUCAGAUGUGAAAUCCUACAGCUUAACUGUAGAACUGCAUUUGAAACUGCUAACCUAGAGUAUGGGAGGGGGAGAUGGAAUUAGUGGUGUAGGGGUAAAAUCCGUAGAUAUCACUAGGAAUACCGAAAGCGAAGGCGAUCUCCUGGAACAUAACUGACGCUAAGGCGUGAAAGCGUGGGGAGCAAACAGGAUUAGAAACCCUAGUAGUCC